GCACUGCUGAGGAGUCCCAUACCAGGACGAAACCGCCGUCCAGUGC
rfam:Schistosoma margrebowiei strain Zambia genome assembly, scaffold: SMRZ_scaffold0000719